rnacentral:rRNA from 1 species
AGGCAUCUCUUAAAUAUCAAAGGUGAGCCAGUACAGGAUGGACCCGCGUCUGAUUAGCUAGUUGGUAAGGUAACGGCUUACCAAGGCGACGAUCAGUAGCCGACCUGAGAGGGUGAUCGGCCACAUUGGAACUGAGACACGGUCCAAACUCCUACGGGAGGCAGCAGUGGGGAAUAUUGCACAAUGGGCGAAAGCCUGAUGCAGCAACGCCGCGUGAGUGAUGAAGGCCUUCGGGUCGUAAAACUCUGUCCUCAAGGAAGAUAAUGACGGUACUUGAGGAGGAAGCCCCGGCUAACUACGUGCCAGCAGCCGCGGUAAUACGUAGGGGGCUAGCGUUAUCCGGAUUUACUGGGCGUAAAGGGUGCGUAGGCGGUCUUUCAAGUCAGGAGUGAAAGGCUACGGCUCAACCGUAGUAAGCUCUUGAAACUGGGAGACUUGAGUGCAGGAGAGGAGAGUGGAAUUCCUAGUGUAGCGGUGAAAUGCGUAGAUAUUAGGAGGAACACCAGUUGCGAAGGCGGCUCUCUGGACUGUAACUGACGCUGAGGCACGAAAGCGUGGGGAGCAAACAGGAUUAGAUACCCUGGUAGUCCACGCUGUAAACGAUGAGUACUAGGUGUCGGGGGUUACCCCCUUCGGUGCCGCAG